rnacentral:lncRNA from 13 species
AACCCCGCCUCUGCGCUUUUUGUGACUUCUUUUACGCACCCUUAUUGGCACCAGAUCCCCCGCUCCCCACGUUCUGCACCCCAAACCCCGCCGCCCCGCUGCGUUCUUCACGCGUGCGCAGUAGGAACCGCGGGGCCCUCUGCAGUCCCUCGGCGUCGGCUCUGGCCAAUCCCACGAGGCCGCCAGACAAAGAGAAGCAGGAAGAACCUUGGUGACGGCCAACUUCCGCUGUUUCCUCCUACACACAGGGCUGCCCUCUCUGGCAGUUUUUCGUUUGUUAAUUUUAUUCUGCAGUUGUAGCUAAUUGGGUUCAAAAGAACUGAGGCUUCUUUUCCUGAUGGCUGACAGCCUUGGGCCACUGUCAGUUUCUCAAUGCCACUUGCAUUCCUUGACACUUGGUCGUUUCUAUCUUCAAGUCAUCAAUGGUUCUUGCUCUGUUGCCCAGGCUGGAGUGCAGUGGCACCAUCAUAGCUCACUGCAGCCUCGAACUCCUGAGCUCAAGUGAUCCUCCCACCUCAGCCUUCUGAAUAGCUGGGACUACAGGUAGGCACCACUUUUUUGUAGAGAUGGGGGUCUUGCUGUGUUGCCAAGGCUAGUAUCUAACUCCUGGCCUCAAUGAGCCUCUUGCUUCAACCUCCUAAAGUGCUAGUGCUAUAGGGUAAGCCACUGCGCUGGGCCUGUUUCCUUUCUUUCUUUCUUUUUUUUCAGACAGAGUUUUGCUCUUGUUGCCCAGUCUGGUGUGCAAUGGUGCGAUCUAGGCUCACUGCAACCUCUGCCUCUCAGGUUCAAGAGAUUCUCCUGCUUCAGCUUCCCAAGUAGCUGGGAUUACAGGCAUGCGCCACCACACCUGGCUAAUUUUGUAUUUUUAGUAGAGACAGG